CUGGUAUCCAACCUAAAUCUUCCCUCCCUCAACUUAAAACCAUUUCUCCUUGUCCUGCCAUUAUCUACCCUUGUAAAGAGUUGGCUCCCCUCCUGUUCAUAGGCUCCUUUUAGGUCCUGGAAGAUGUAAUGUUUGUUCUAAAUUGCUGCUAAUAAAUUAAACUCUUAAAAAUAAAGUAAGACGGGAAAGCUGAACUUAAUGGGAUGCUUCUGCUGAUGGAACUGUCAGACUAAUUCUGACCUCUGCCAAGAAGCAAGCAUGUUAUUCACAGCAUGGAAAGAGAAGCAACCAUAGGGGUCAAAUCAAUAUGAUUUUCAGAUGAGUGGCCCUCUCAGAUGGCUUUGUAAUUGUUAAACAUCUCAAAGAAAAAAAAAAAGGAGAAAAAAGAGCUGUGAUUGUAUGCUACGAUAUAGUUGUAAAUUAUGAAGGAGGGACAAAGUUGUUAGCAGUUCCCUUCAGGUCCCAGAUUUUACGUAAAUCCAGAUGGCUGAACUACAGGAGUCCUUUCUUCUUUAAAGGAAAUCUGGAAACUUGAAAGCAAUUUAGCAAGAGUCAAUUAAUCAAAACUAUCAGAAGUGCGCUGGGGUGGCUGCAUACAAGGAGGAAAGCUGUGUUUUAGAGUGCCUUAGCCAAGGAUGUCAGGGAACUCCUUGAAAGCUGAGUGGGAAGUCCUGGAGUGUUCAAUGGGCUCUGAGUGUGGCAGCGAUGGCGCUCCAGGACACUGGCUGCCAUUAGAUGCGUGAGAGCAGACAUGUCCAUGCCUGGACCACUCUGGUGGUCAUGCCUGGACUCCUUUCACUCUGGGUAAGCCAAGGGCUCCAUCUGUAUGAAGCACAAGCAUCCCCUGGGAGCCCAACUUGGAUGGAGAGGAGGGUUUUGAAGGCUGAGAAGAGCCGAACAGAACGGCCUUUCCUGGAACAGGAACAGGUUGCCCAAGGAGGCUGUGGAUGCCCCAUCCCUGGAGGCAUUCAAGGCCAGGCUGGAUGUGGCUCUGGGCAGCCUGGUCUGGUGGUUGGCGACCCUGCACACCGCGGGGGGUUGGAACUAGAUGAGCAUUGCAGUCCUUUUCAACCUGGGCCAUUCUAUGAUUCUGUGAUCCUGUGAUUCCUUCUGGGAGCAGCAUGCUGCCUCACCUUCAAAGUAAACAUUAACAGCUAUCAGGAGAAGAGGGAUUAAUAAGACUUGAAGUGGUGGCAUUUGAGAUUUAGGCUUUCCUUGGUCAUCGGUGAUCUCUUCACAGAUGCCUGCAGGGCAUCCCCAGGCCGAGCUUUCCAGCACCGCCAUACACAGAUGGUGAAAUAUUCCCC
ensembl:lncRNA